rnacentral:piRNA from 1 species
UAACAUAACAAAGACACGAAGCGCGCGC